rnacentral:rRNA from 1 species
GACGAACGCUGGCGGCGUGCCUAAUACAUGCAAGUAGGACGCAGUUGCGAACGGGUGAGCAACGCGUCGGUCACUGCCUAUUUGUGGGGGAUAACUAUUGUAAACGAUAGCUAAUACCGCAUACUAGUAGAUGGACCUGCGUUGUAUUAUCUAGUAGGUAGUGUAAUGGCCUACCUAGGCGACGAUACAUAGCCGAGCUUGGAGUGUGAUCGGCCAAACUGGGACUGGGACACGGCCCAGACUCCUACGGGAGGCAGCGGUAGGGAAACUUCGGAAAUGGGGGGCACCCUGACCGAGCAACGCCGCGUGAGUGGAGGAGGUUUUCGGAUCGUAAAGCUUUGUUGUUAAGGAAGCGGUACUUAACCAGAAAGGGACGGCUAACUACGUGCCAGCAGCCGCGGUAAUAC